GCAAGUUUUUCCGUCGUCCACAAACCCUUUUCUCAAUUAGUCAGAUUACUGGGCCAAAGGGCAGCCGCCAGACUCGGAGGACAUGCGGAAGGGACACCAAUCUGCAUUUGGACACGCGUGAGUACUGAGCUGUGUGGUGUGCUUGAAGAGCUCAUGUCUGAUGUCACGUUGCACCACAAGGUGGAGAUUAGACAAUCACAAAAGCAGAGGAAAAAGUUGCCAGUUGGAUGGC